AUACGUAGGGAGCGAGCGUUGUCCGGAAUUACUGGGUGUAAAGGGAGCGUAGGCGGGAGUGCAAGUCAGAUGUGAAAUACAUGGGCUCAACCCAUGGGCUGCAUUUGAAACUGCAUUUCUUGAGUGAAGUAGAGGUAAGCGGAAUUCCUGGUGUAGCGGUGAAAUGCGUAGAUAUCAGGAGGAACACCGGUGGCGAAGGCGGCUUACUGGGCUUUUACUGACGCUGAGGCUCGAAAGCGUGGGGAGCAAACAGGAUUAGAUUCCCUGGUAGUCCACGCUGUAAACGAUGAUUACUAGGUGUGGGGGGACUGACCCCUUCCGUGCCGCAGUUAACACAAUAAGUAAUCCACCUGGGGAGUACGGCCGCAAGGUUGAAACUCAAAUGAAUUGACGGGG
rnacentral:rRNA from 1 species